GAAAACACAGGCAAUACAAGGCCUGGCCCCUAACCUUGCCCAUGAUGACAGCCCCGCCUUGCUGCACAGCCUUGGAGCCUCUGCCCCAUCUGAGGUGGGGCUGAUCUCCCCUGAUGGACGGGCAGCUCCUGGAAGGCAGGGCUGUGCUGAUUGAUGCCUGGGGCCCACUCCUAUUCAUUCGUUCAACUGGCGUGUAUGGAGCGCCCACCAUACAUCAGGCACUGUUCUAGGUGCUGAGAUUGUAGCAGCGGACAAAACAGAAAUCCCUGCUUGCCUGGAGCUUACAUUCUAGCAGGAGGAGAGAGCCGAUAAGCAAAAGAAAGAGGUUGCUAAUUGCAUUCGUUUUAUCUUGCUACGUAAGCAAUGACCACACACUUUGCGGCCUCAGAUAAGGCCCACUAAUCAUCUCAUCAUUUCCAUGUGUCAGGAAUCCACACACAGCUUAGCCGGACCCUCUGCUUAGAGCCUUGUGUGGCUGAAGUCAAGUUGUUGGCCGGAUUGCAUUCCUUUCUGGAGUUCGGUGUUCUCUUUCGAGUUCAAGUGGUUGUUGGCAGAUCCAAGUUCCUCGCUGGCUGUCAGCAGGGGCUGCUCUUAACUGCUAGAGGUUGCUUUUGGGUCCUUACCAGGCGACUCCCUCCAUCUUCAAAGCCAGCAACGGAGAACUUCCCCACGUCCAGCUUUGAAUCUCUCUCGCUGGAUGCCCAGUCCCUUUUGAGAGCUUAUCUAAUAGGGCUGGGCUCCUGGAGGAUAGCCUCCCUUUUU
rnacentral:lncRNA from 10 species